rnacentral:rRNA from 1 species
UGGGGAAUAUUGGACAAUGGGGGCAACCCUGAUCCAGCAAUGCCGCGUGUGUGAAGAAGGUCCUCGGAUUGUAAAGCACUUUCGACGGGGACGAUGAUGACGGUACCCGUAGAAGAAGCCCCGGCUAACUUCGUGCCAGCAGCCGCGGUAAUACGAAGGGGGCUAGCGUUGCUCGGAAUGACUGGGCGUAAAGGGCGUGUAGGCGGUUUACACAGUCAGAUGUGAAAUCCCCGGGCUUAACCUGGGAGCU